rnacentral:rRNA from 1 species
AGUCGAGCGGUAGCACAGAGAGCUUGCUCUCGGGUGACGAGCGGCGGACGGGUGAGUAAUGUCUGGGAAACUGCCUGAUGGAGGGGGAUAACUACUGGAAACGGUAGCUAAUACCGCAUAACGUCGCAAGACCAAAGAGGGGGACCUUCGGGCCUCUUGCCAUCAGAUGUGCCCAGAUGGGAUUAGCUAGUAGGUGGGGUAACGGCUCACCUAGGCGACGAUCCCUAGCUGGUCUGAGAGGAUGACCAGCCACACUGGAACUGAGACACGGUCCAGACUCCUACGGGAGGCAGCAGUGGGGAAUAUUGCACAAUGGGCGCAAGCCUGAUGCAGCCAUGCCGCGUGUAUGAAGAAGGCCUUCGGGUUGUAAAGUACUUUCAGCGGGGAGGAAGGUGUUGAGGUUAAUAACCUCAGCAAUUGACGUUACCCGCAGAAGAAGCACCGGCUAACUCCGUGCCAGCAGCCGCGGUAAUACGGAGGGUGCAAGCGUUAAUCGGAAUUACUGGGCGUAAAGCGCACGCAGGCGGUCUGUCAAGUCGGAUGUGAAAUCCCCGGGCUCAACCUGGGAACUGCAUUCGAAACUGGCAGGCUAGAGUCUUGUAGAGGGGGGUAGAAUUCCAGGUGUAGCGGUGAAAUGCGUAGAGAUCUGGAGGAAUACCGGUGGCGAAGGCGGCCCCCUGGACAAAGACUGACGCUCAGGUGCGAAAGCGUGGGGAGCAAACAGGAUUAGAUACCCUGGUAGUCCACGCCGUAAACGAUGUCGACUUGGAGGUUGUGCCCUUGAGGCGUGGCUUCCGGAGCUAACGCGUUAAGUCGACCGCCUGGGGAGUACGGCCGCAAGGUUAAAACUCAAAUGAAUUGACGGGGGCCCGCACAAGCGGUGGAGCAUGUGGUUUAAUUCGAUGCAACGCGAAGAACCUUACCUACUCUUGACAUCCAGAGAACUUUCCAGAGAUGGAUUGGUGCCUUCGGGAACUCUGAGACAGGUGCUGCAUGGCUGUCGUCAGCUCGUGUUGUGAAAUGUUGGGUUAAGUCCCGCAACGAGCGCAACCCUUAUCCUUUGUUGCCAGCGGUCCGGCCGGGAACUCAAAGGAGACUGCCAGUGAUAAACUGGAGGAAGGUGGGGAUGACGUCAAGUCAUCAUGGCCCUUACGAGUAGGGCUACACACGUGCUACAAUGGCGCAUACAAAGAGAAGCGACCUCGCGAGAGCAAGCGGACCUCAUAAAGUGCGUCGUAGUCCGGAUUGGAGUCUGCAACUCGACUCCAUGAAGUCGGAAUCGCUAGUAAUCGUAGAUCAGAAUGCUACGGUGAAUACGUUCCCGGGCCUUGUACACACCGCCCGUCACACCAUGGGAGUGGGUUGCAAAAGAAGUAGGUAGCUUAACCUUCGGGAGGGCGCUUA